rnacentral:rRNA from 1 species
AUUGAACGCUGGCGGCAUGCUUUACACAUGCAAGUCGAACGGUAACAGGCCUUCGGGUGCUGACGAGUAGCGAGCGGGUGAGUAAUGCAUCGGAACGUGCCCAGAGGUGGGGGAUAACGCAGCGAAAGCUGUGCUAAUACCGCAUGUGAUCUGAGGAUGAAAGCGGGGGACCAAGCAGCAAUGUUUGGCCUCGCGCCUCUGGAGCGGCCGAUGUCAGAUUAGGUAGUUGGUGGGGUAAAGGCCUACCAAGCCGACGAUCUGUAGCUGGUCUGAGAGGACGACCAGCCACACUGGGACUGAGACACGGCCCAGACUCCUACGGGAGGCAGCAGUGGGGAAUUUUGGACAAUGGGCGCAAGCCUGAUCCAGCAAUGCCGCGUGCGGGAAGAAGGCCUUCGGGUUGUAAACCGCUUUUGUACGGAACGAAAAGGCUCUGGCUAAUACCUGGGGCUGAUGACGGUACCGUAAGAAUAAGCACCGGCUAACUACGUG